CUUACAAAGUAUAUCUAUAUCUCAAAUUUUGUUUGACUGAAUUCGGAUAAGAUUUGAAAGAGAAAUUACUCCUUCCACAAAACAUGUCAUGUUGGGUUUAUAACAAAAUUUAUCAAAUGCAUAUUAGUUUUUUUGUUGAUGCCUUUGGGCAUAGAUUUUGAUAUUAAAAAUAUAUGAGAAAAUAUAUAAUUUAUGAUUAGUAUUAUUCACAAGAUUAUGAUUAAUGACUCAUAAGUUUCAUGCAAAUUAAUAUAUUAUUUAUCUAAUGACAUUAUGAC
rnacentral:lncRNA from 1 species